CCUACGGGGGGCUGCAGUAAGGAAUAUUGGUCAAUGGAGGCAACUCUGAACCAGCCAUGCCGCGUGGAGGAUGAAGGUCCUCUGGAUUGUAAACUUCUUUUAUAUGGGACGAAAAAAGGCUUUUCUAAGUCGUCUGACGGUACCAUAUGAAUAAGCACCGGCUAACUCCGUGCCAGCAGCCGCGGUAAUCCGGAGGGUGCAGGCGUUAUCCGGAUUCACUGGGUUGUAGGUGUGUUGGGAAGGGUUGGUUGAAAUCCCCGAGCUUAACUUGGGAACUGCCAUUGAUACUAUCAGUCUUGAAUACCGUGGAGGUCGGCGGAAUAUGUCAUGUAGCGGUGAAAUGCUUAGAUAUGACAUAGAACACCAAUUGCGAAGGCAGCUGGCUACGCGGAUAUUGACACUGAGGCACGAAAGCGUGGGGAUCAAACAGGAUUAGAUACCCCUGUAGUC
rnacentral:rRNA from 1 species